CAUGGACACUGUCAAGGCUUAUGACUUUACCUUCUGGAACUGUGGCAUGAGCCCCACCUGGAGCUGCAUCAGCCACAGCUGGGGUAGCCAGGGAGCACUGUGCUGAGGUGUGGAGGGUAGAGUCCUAAGAUGGCCCUCAGCUUCAAGCCCAGGAAGAGCAGCUGAGGUAUUUGUUGUCAUCAACACCUUACUCCUCAGCACCAAUUUUCUGUCUUAGUCCAUUUUUUGUUGCUUACAAGAGAACACCUGAAACUGGGUGAUUUAUAAAAGAAGAGAAAUAUAUUCCCUACAGUAUAAAGGCUGAGUUCAAUGUCAAAGGGCUACAUCUGGUGAGUGUUUUCUUGUUGGUGGGGACUUGGGAAUUCUGAG
rnacentral:lncRNA from 10 species